AAUAACCUGCCGCGUUCGCUACCGGCCAUGUCUUUCGCUAGGGGUUUUGUUCCGUUUUGCUCUGCCCGCUGCUGGUGAGGAAACGGGAGCGAGGGUGCUCGGGGUGGGCUGCAGCUGCGGAGCCUGUACCCCGGCCCCAGCCCUGCCCGCCAGCUCCCCGCGGUGACCGAACGGGAGCGCUUCUCCUCAGGCCUCCUGCUCUGGAGUGAGCAGGACGCGGCUCUACCCCGCAGCGCGCUUCCUUAGCCUUGAGGCUUAGCUCCCAUAUUUAUCUGCACCCGCUGUGAGAGUCAGACCCCCUUUCCUUUAAAAUACACAGUGAUGAUGUUUUUUCUCAUUCUUCUGUUCUGUUUCCAGUUAAAGUGUUAUAGACAUUGUCUUAUUUCCCACGAUUUUUUAUUCUCCGACCUGGCCUCCCCGCACUAUUGCAGAAAUGCUAGUGCUAUACCAACGGACGGCGUAGGACUUCAGAUGGGGAUGAGCGGCACAAUCUCCAGGGGCUUCCGAGAUGUCUUGGGUGUUGCGGCCUGUGCUCCUGUAAAAAGGCAGUGGAAUUGCUUUCUUGCUCUCACUGGCCGGCCGGAAGGAUUCAACAAGCUUUACUCUGAAAUGAAUACACGAUUUUAACACUGGCGUCCACGAAGACUCAACAAAAGACACCUUCAUUACUUCGGAAGGCCUCCGGGUCAGCUACCCCAUUACAGCUCCAGGAGGAGAGGACUGCUUUUGAACGACUCGCGCCUGCUGCGUCGCAUCUGGAGGCAGAGACUCUGCGCGGAGCCGAGCGGUGCCGCCGGGAGAGCGCGUGGGACGGGAGCCGCCGUUGCAGGUUGGAGUGCACGGGCUGCCCGUUGCGGGCAGGCUCCCCGGCAGGGCCAGCACGCGUAGCCUGGCCGCUGAGCACCGCGCCGGCCCGCCACAGCAUGUCCCUCCGUGGGCAUGCGCUGGCCC
rnacentral:lncRNA from 1 species